UCGGGAAUAUUGCGCAAUGGAGGAAACUCUGACGCAGUGACGCCGCGUGCAGGAAGAAGGUUUUCGGAUUGUAAACUGCUUUAGACAGGGAAGAAAAAGACAGUACCUGUAGAAUAAGCUCCGGCUAACUACGUGCCAGCAGCCGCGGUAAUACGUAGGGAGCAAGCGUUAUCCGGAUUUAUUGGGUGUAAAGGGUGCGUAGACGGGAAAAUAAGUUAGUUGUGAAAUCCCCAUGCUUAACAUGGGAACUGCAACUAAAACUGUUUUUCUUGAGUGCUGGAGAGGAAAGUGGAAUUCCUAGUGUAGCGGUGAAAUGCGUAGAUAUUAGGAGGAACACCAGUGGCGAAGGCGACUUUCUGGACAGUAACUGACGUUGAGGCACGAAAGUGUGGGGAGCAAACA
rnacentral:rRNA from 2 species